rnacentral:rRNA from 1 species
GACGAACGCUGGCGGCGUGCUUAACACAUGCAAGUCGAACGGAAAGGCUCCAGCUUGCUGGAGUACUCGAGUGGCGAACGGGUGAGUAACACGUGGGUAAUCUGCCCUGCACUCUGGGAUAAGCCUGGGAAACUGGGUCUAAUACUGGAUAUGACCUUUCUCCUUAUGGGGUUUGGUGGAAAGUUUUUCGGUGUAGGAUGAGCCCGCGGCCUAUCAGCUUGUUGGUGGGGUGAUGGCCUACCAAGGCGACGACGGGUAGCCGGCCUGAGAGGGUGAUCGGCCACAUUGGGACUGAGAUACGGCCCAGACUCCUACGGGAGGCAGCAGUGGGAAAUAUUGCACAAUGGGCGGAAGCCUGAUGCAGCGACGCCGCGUGAGGGAUGACGGCCUUCGGGUUGUAAACCUCUUUCAGCAGGGACGAAGCGUAAGUGACGGUACCUGCAGAAGAAGCACCGGCUAACUAUGUG